CAGGGGACACAGUCACCAUUAACUGGGAAAUGUGGUCACAGAGCCUUGUGCAAGAUAAGUGAAGAACUUAAACUUCCGUCUUGCACCAUUAUGGAAAGUUCAGAAUUUCCUGAUUCAAAUUCCAGAGGCUGCGGGCAGGCCAGCCUUAGGGCUGGAGGCAGGAGUUACACCCGCUCAUCAAGAUUCAGUUGUUACACCUCUUUUCAGUUUAAAUUUGCUGGAAGUCUACAUGGGAUUCAUUCCUUAUAUUAUCAAAACAAAGUCACCUGAAGACUGAGCUAAGAAGAACCCCCACGUGGUGGAAGAACUGGGGGAGGAGACAAAGGAUGGUCUUUCUCAGGUGUUUUGUACCUUCUCUAAGAUGCUUGAAAAUAAACAUUGUUAAGAUUAAAAUUUA